UCAGAACACCGGCAAAAGUGACCCCAAAGAGACACUCUGGCAGAGUUACUUAUUCUUGAAAACUGUCAUUUAACUGUUUACUUGGCGGAGUUUUUGGCAAUAAGCCAGGGCAGGAUAAGCCAGUGGUGGCUUCGCGCAUGCGUGAUUCAAUUUGCAGUCUGGAUGCGGAAAGGUGAACAACUCCUGCUCUGACUGCAGCUGGGCGGGGCUGCUGCGUGAGGACUCCCCGCCUGUCAAUGCUUUGGGACGUAAGGGGAACCCACGGCAGCACCCGCUACUCGUCCCAGGCUGAGGCUGAGAGAAGGGCACCAGCAGCCAGACCUAAACAGCCACAAACACAACCCACCCUACCAGCACUGUUUGAACAACAGCGGAAAUACAGUCCCAAAUCACCAAAGGCACAAACGCUCAACAGGGCUGUUGCCAAGUACAUUUGUAUGGACCAGAUCCCUGUCAGAUCACUGACAAAAAAUAAAUAAAAAUAUUUUAUUUAUUU